GGGACGACGUCAAGUCAUCACUGGCCCUUAUGUCCUGGGCUACACACGUGCUACAAUGGCCGGUACAGAGCGCAGCGAGGCCGCGAGGCGGAGCGAAUCGCUUAAAGCCGGUCCCAGUACGGAUUGGAGUCUGCAACCCGACUCCAUGAAGUUGGAAUCGCUAGUAAUCGCGCAUCAGCAUGGCGCGGUGAAUACGUUCCCGGGCCUU
rnacentral:rRNA from 1 species